rnacentral:rRNA from 1 species
GCAGUCGCCACGGUAAAACGUAGGUGGCAAGCGUUGUCCGGAAUUAUUGGGCGUAGAGCGCGCGCAGGCGGAUCGGUCAGUCUGUCUUAAAAGUUCGGGGCUUAACCCCGUGAUGGGAUGGAAACUGCCAAUCUAGAGUAUCGGAGAGGAAAGUGGAAUUCCUAGUGUAGCGGUGAAAUGCGUUGAGAUCGGAAAGAACACCAACGGCGAAAGCACUCUGCUGGGCCGACACUGACACUGAGAGACGAAAGCUAGGGGAGCAAAUGGGAUUAGAUACCCCCGUAGUCCCUGUCUCUUAUACA